rnacentral:rRNA from 1 species
GUACACUCCUACGGGAGGCAGCAGUGGGGAAUUUUGGACAAUGGGCGAAAGCCUGAUCCAGCCAUGCCGCGUGCAGGAUGAAGGCCUUCGGGUUGUAAACUGCUUUUGUACGGAACGAAACGGCCUUUUCUAAUAAAGAGGGCUAAUGACGGUACCGUAAGAAUAAGCACCGGCUAACUACGUGCCAGCAGCCGCGGUAAUACGUAGGGUGCAAGCGUUAAUCGGAAUUACUGGGCGUAAAGCGUGCGCAGGCGGUUAUGUAAGACAGUUGUGAAAUCCCCGGGCUCAACCUGGGAACUGCAUCUGUGACUGCAUAGCUAGAGUACGGUAGAGGGGGAUGGAAUUCCGCGUGUAGCAGUGAAAUGCGUAGAUAUGCGGAGGAACACCGAUGGCGAAGGCAAUCCCCUGGACCUGUACUGACGCUCAUGCACGAAAGCGUGGGAGCAAACAGGAUUAGAUACCCCUGUAGUCCCA